AGCGAACGCUGGCGGCAGGCCUAACACAUGCAAGUCGAGCGGCCGUAGCAAUACGGCAGCGGCAGACGGGAGAGUAACACGUGGGAACGCGCCCUUUGGUUCGGAAUAACUCAGGGAAACUUGAGCUAAUACCGGAUAAGCCCUUACGGGGAAAGAUUUAUCGCCAAAGGAACGGCCCGAGUCCGAUUAGCUAGUUGGUGAGGUAACGGCUCACCAAGGCGACGAUCGGUAGCUGGUCUGAGAGGAUGACCAGCCUCACUGGGACUGAGACACGGCCCAGACUCCUACGGGAGGCAGCAGUGGGGAAUAUUGGACAAUGGGCGCAAGCCUGAUCCAGCCAUGCCGCGUGAGUGAUGAGGGCCUUAGGGUUGUAAAGCUCUUUUAGCAGGGAAGAUAAUGACGGUACCUGCAGAAAAAGCCCCGGCUAACUUCGUGCCAGCCGCCGCAGUAA
rnacentral:rRNA from 1 species